rnacentral:rRNA from 1 species
UACGAAGGGGACUAGCGUUGUUCGGAAUUACUGGGCGUAAAGCGCACGUAGGCGGAUUGCUAAGUCAGGGGUGAAAUCCUGGAGCUCAACUCCAGAACUGCCUUUGAUACUGGCGAUCUUGAGUCCGGGAGAGGUGAGUGGAACUGCGAGUGUAGAGGUGAAAUUCGUAGAUAUUCGCAAGAACACCAGUGGCGAAGGUGGCUCACUGGCCCGGUACUGACGCUGAGGUGCGAAAGCGUGGGGAGCAAACAGG